rnacentral:rRNA from 1 species
AGUGAACGCUGGCGGUAGGCCUAACACAUGCAAGUCGAACGGCAGCACAGUAAGAGCUUGCUCUUACGGGUGGCGAGUGGCGGACGGGUGAGGAAUACAUCGGAAUCUACUUUUUCGUGGGGUAUAACGUAGGGAAACUUACGCUAAUACCGCAUACGACCUACGGGUGAAAGCAGGGGAUCUUCGGACCUUGCGCGAUUGAAUGAGCCGAUGUCGGAUUAGCUAGUUGGCGGGGUAAAGGCCCACCAAGUCGACGAUCCGUAGCUGGUCUGAGAGGAUGAGAAGCCAAACGGGAAAUGAGACACGGUCCAGACGCCUACGGGAGGCAGCAGUGGGGAAAAUUGGACAAUGGGGGCAAGCCUGAUCAAGCCAUACCGCGUGGGUGAAGAAGGCCUUCGGGUUGUAAAGCCCUUUUGUUGGGAAAGAAAAGCAGCAGGUUAAUACCCCGCUGUUCUGACGGUACCCAAAGAAUAAGCACCGGCUAACUUCGU